GUUGUUUUUGCCGAUGCCUGUGAUGCCGCCCCCCACCACAAUGCCGCCCCGGGCAACCGCCCGUUUCGCCCGUAUCAAAAACCGCUACCGUACACAUAGUUUGCCUGGACUUUCUUCGCCACUGCCUUCAACCCCAGCUCUUCUCGGAUUACCUCCGCAUUCUGGAAAAUAUAGAGGACCUCACCUGCCUGCCCUCCAGCUUUCACUCACCACCUCGGACGCCGUAGAACUCAGACUGACCCGCUCGAUUCCCGUCGCACCUAUCAAUUCCCAGUUCACUCUCUCUGACCCACGGCCG